ACGAACGCUGGCGGCGUGCCUAAUACAUGCAAGUAGAACGCUGAAGAGAGGAGCUUGCUCUUCUUGGAUGAGUUGCGAACGGGUGAGUAACGCGUAGGUAACCUGCCUUGUAGCGGGGGAUAACUAUUGGAAACGAUAGCUAAUACCGCAUAACAAUGGAUGACACAUGUCAUUUAUUUGAAAGGGGCAAUUGCUCCACUACAAGAUGGACCUGCGUUGUAUUAGCUAGUAGGUGAGGUAACGGCUCACCUAGGCGACGAUACAUAGCCGACCUGAGAGGGUGAUCGGCCACACUGGGACUGAGACACGGCCCAGACUCCUACGGGAGGCAGCAGUAGGGAAUCUUCGGCAAUGGGGGCAACCCUGACCGAGCAACGCCGCGUGAGUGAAGAAGGUUUUCGGAUCGUAAAGCUCUGUUGUAAGUCAAGAACGAGUGUGAGAGUGGAAAGUUCACACUGUGACGGUAGCUUACCAGAAAGGGACGGCUAACUACGUGCCAGCAGCCGCGGUAAUACGUAGGUCCCGAGCGUUGUCCGGAUUUAUUGGGCGUAAAGCGAGCGCAGGCGGUUUGAUAAGUCUGAAGUUAAAGGCUGUGGCUCAACCAUAGUUCGCUUUGGAAACUGUCAAACUUGAGUGCAGAAGGGGAGAGUGGAAUUCCAUGUGUAGCGGUGAAAUGCGUAGAUAUAUGGAGGAACACCGGUGGCGAAAGCGGCUCUCUGGUCUGUAACUGACGCUGAGGCUCGAAAGCGUGGGGAGCGAACAGGAUUAGAUACCCUGGUAGUCCACGCCGUAAACGAUGAGUGCUAGGUGUUGGAUCCUUUCCGGGAUUCAGUGCCGCAGCUAACGCAUUAAGCACUCCGCCUGGGGAGUACGACCGCAAGGUUGAAACUCAAAGGAAUUGGCGGGGGCCCGCACAAGCGGUGGAGCAUGUGGUUUAAUUCGAAGCAACGCGAAGAACCUUACCAGGUCUUGACAUCCCGAUGCUAUUUCUAGAGAUAGAAAGUUACUUCGGUACAUCGGUGACAGGUGGUGCAUGGUUGUCGUCAGCUCGUGUCGUGAGAUGUUGGGUUAAGUCCCGCAACGAGCGCAACCCCUAUUGUUAGUUGCCAUCAUUCAGUUGGGCACUCUAGCGAGACUGCCGGUAAUAAACCGGAGGAAGGUGGGGAUGACGUCAAAUCAUCAUGCCCCUUAUGACCUGGGCUACACACGUGCUACAAUGGUUGGUACAACGAGUUGCGAGUCGGUGACGGCAAGCUAAUCUCUUAAAGCCAAUCUCAGUUCGGAUUGUAGGCUGCAACUCGCCUACAUGAAGUCGGAAUCGCUAGUAAUCGCGGAUCAGCACGCCGCGGUGAAUACGUUCCCGGGCCUUGUACACACCGCCCGUCACACCACGAGAGUUUGUAACACCCGAAGUCGGUGAGGUAACCUUUUGGAGCCAGCCGCCUAAGGUGGGAUAGAUGAUUGGGGUG
rnacentral:rRNA from 1 species